GACGAACGCUGGCGGCGUGCUUAACACAUGCAAGUCGAACGGAAAGGCCCUGCUUGCCGGGUGCUCGAGUGGCGAACGGGUGAGUAACACGUGGGUGAUCUGCCCCUUACUUUGGGAUAAGCCUGGGAAACUGGGUCUAAUACUGGAUAGGACCAUGCCGUAGGUGGUGUGGUGGAAAGAUUAGUUUCGGUAAGGGAUGAGCUCGCGGCCUAUCAGCUUGUUGGUGGGGUAAUGGCCUACCAAGGCGUCGACGGGUAGCCGGCCUGAGAGGGUGGACGGCAACAUUGGGACUGAGAUACGGCACAGACUCCUACGGGAGGCAGCAGUGGGGAAUAUUGCACAAUGGGCGCAAGCCUGAUGCAGCGACGCCGCGGGGGGGAUGACGGCCUUCGGGUUGUAAACUCCUUUCAGCCAUGACGAAGCCCUUGUGGUGACGGUAGUGGUAGAAGAAGCACCGGCUAACUACGUG
rnacentral:rRNA from 1 species